rnacentral:lncRNA from 1 species
AUGUCAGAGACAAGUAGAAUGGCAAGCUUAGAGUGAGGGGAGCCAGUGAGAUAGGAAUCAAGACCAGCAAAUUUCUCAACAUGGCCUGCACCUGCAGUGGGGUUAAUGGUUGGUGGGUUUGAGCAACAUUGUGGCCCUGACAUUGCUCUUCUCUUCUCUGCAAUUCACUUCACAGCUCUGCUCUUGGGGAUCAAAUUUUGGAACAGAGAGAGAGAGAGAGAUGACGUGAAGAAAUGGGAGAUUCCACUUUGCUAUUGCUAUGCACUCAUAUCAUUGUGGUCCAUAUAUGGACAACUGCAGGAUGUGGCAACCAUACAAAUUUGAUUUAGGCUUUUUUAUUAAAUUUUACAGUACCAUUGUUUUUUUUUUUUUUGAUAAGCUUACAGUACCAUUGUAAAUAAAUCAAACAAAUAUUGUUUUUUUAAUCAACAAACAAAAAUAAUAGCUUCGUGGCAAGGGACAUCACUACCCUAUUCCGAACCAGAUUAGUCACGUGAGUUCUUUUUUUUUUCCGUAGAGACUGAUGACCAAAAGAUAAAAAAAAAGACUUUAAUUAUUGUGCACCGUUAAUAUUUAAUUCUACAUUUUUAUGGAGACGUCCAAUAACUGAAUGACACAUAUUUUCAUAAUUGAAUGUUUAUGUUAAAAAUGUUAAGAUAACCAUUAUUUUUUUUAAUCUAAAAACCCUCUAUAUCUAGAAGAAUAGAACUUAUAUACAUUCCCACACCACUUAAAUCAAAAGGGGUUGAAGAAAAUCUCACAAAUUUAUGAGAAGUUUUUUUUUUUUUGAAAUGAGAAGUUGAUUUUUUUGGUUACAGGAGGAAAAGUAACUAAAAGACAGAAAAACUAGCUAAUUGCAUCUAGAUACAAACUAUCAUAAACAAAAGACGGUGGUCUCGCCCAAACUUGGAUCGGUGUAUCACUCUUCCCCGCCUCACGAGCUAAACAAUCAGCAGUAUUGUUCUUCUCCCGCUGGAAAUGCAAGACACUGACGCUCUGAAACCUGGCAUCAUGCUCCUUGAUUUUACUAAAUGUAAAUUUAUUCCUUGUAAAAAAAAACUAAAUUAAAUUAUGUAUCUUUAUCCCAUCAUGUUCAAGGGUAAAAAUUCUAUCAUGUUCACCAAAAGUUGGGCCUUUUUUACCGUCUUUUUUAACCCUUUUUAUCUUACAAAAACUAAAAUAUGAGAUUAAUGCUGAAAAUAUCUAUAGACUAACCAAAUUAACAGAUUAAAUCAAUUAUGACACACACAUACUACACAUUGCUAAUUGUGAUCUUUUAAAAAAAAAUCCCUAAUUGUGUCUCACACACGUAGAGAGAAAGUUAUAAGUUUCUCUGCUGUGAACUCUUAACUCACCAUAGCAAAAAGUUAGGCCCGUUAGAGUUUAACUUGCCUAGCAAGUUACAAGCGCAAACGUGAACCUGUGAGUGAGUCUCAGUGCAUGUUGGUUUGAGGUUAGAACCCAGGCAAAUUUGAUUGGUUUCACUUAGUGUAAGACACCAAUGGAAUGGAGAAGCUAGAAUUUGGCGCGCUAUUUUGACAAGUCAGUGAUAUGUAAAUUUGAAAUUUUAUCUAAUAUGGGUUAAUGCUGCUGCGCAACGCAGAGUUCAGCACCUCGAUCUCAACCUUUAUAGUAAUUCACCGAUCAACUUGUCGUCCAUCUUCAGUUGCAGGACUCUUGUGGUUCUCAGGUUGCAGUGGUUAGAUUUGAAUCAGUUUUCCUCUGUUGUUGAUUUGCCAUUCCUUAAAGUCCUGCAUCUGCAAGAUUUGUAUUUCUCAGAACGCGAAUAUCUCGCCGAGCUUCUUGAGGAUUUGAAGGUGAGUGGAUUGAGUUUUGGUAAUUAUGUCACUGACAGAGAGUUUAAAACGUUACCCAAGUUGGUCAGAGCAGAUAUUUCAGUCAUACAUACAUGUUUUUUGCUCAUGGUGGUCAACAAUGUCGAGUUUUUGCACUUAGAUGAGGUAAUGUGAUUAAUUUAUCCAUCAUUCUUGUUCAUUCCUAUUGACAAUGAUAUAUUUGAUUUCUUGAAAUUGUAAUCAAUGAUGCAGAUUUAUUUUAGACUCUAUGAGACUCAAUGGAUGUACAGCAACACUCUAACACAUGUUGAGCUUGUCUAUAGAUACUAUAAUCCUGAUUGGUCUCAGGUAGCGGAAUUGCUCAGUCAUUGCCCCAAGCUUCAAGUUCUUGUCAUAAACCUGGUUUUGCUUAAAAGAUUAGGAUGAUUUCUAUUUUUUCAUCAUUUCUACACAUGUUUUCAUUUAUUUAUUUUGUGUUUAUUGUUGGCAGCCUUCGGAUCCUCCUAGCUCUGUCUUUGAAGAAUUGGAAAAAAUAGAAUUUUGGCAAUCUCCACCAUCGGUUCCUGAAUGCAUUCUAUUACACCUUAAAAGAUGCUAUCUAAAUGGGUAUAGAGGCACCAAAGCUGAGUUUAGGUUUGCAAAAUAUAUUAUACAGAAUUCAAGAUUUUUAAAGAAGAUGACGAUAACCAGCAACAUUGCUGAAAUUCGAAAGUUUAAGAUGUUAAAAAAACUAUCCUCAUGCUCAAGGCACUCCGCGAAUUGUAGACUUUCCAUUGAAUGAUAACAAACAAGAUUUGGUACUUGCAUUCUGCAACUUGUAGACUUUCGUUUCAUUUCUUUGUUUUAACUAGUACACAUGUAUUUGGUACAUCAUGAUUAGAUGCUAUUACUUCACUUUGUUGGCUGAGAAAUUAGAGGGAAAUACCAACAACAGUCAACUCAACAAAUAAUACAUAAUUGUGAUUUUAACUUGUAAGUUCAUAUGUUAAUUCAUCUAAUCAGUUCAAAAUAUAUAACCAAUAAGUAUGCAAAGAAAUAAUAAACAAAUGGACAGGCUGAUAAUAAGGGAACUUACCACCCCAACAAAAAGAGGCAGCCCCUAUGGCCAAAACACCUUUAUCUUUUAAAGCUUCAAUCACUGGUUUUGCAUCUUCAAAAGCUUUGUUCUAUCAGCAUAACAUUACAGUAUAAGAGCAUGAUGAAUUAUGAUUUAAAAUAAGGAACAAUUCUUUUACAUUUGAUUGGUGAAAACCACACUAAUUUUUCAUCAAAUACCUUAAAUGUCAUAAAAGGUAGAUAACUAAAAUUAACAGCAAUGUGUGGAGAGAAAUCAACUGUUAAUUACAGUGAAAAUGACACAUAAUUUAGAGAUCUAAAUCCAAACCAUAAAUGCUUAAAUGUCAGCAUUACAAAUUUCAGCUAGGAUACAAAUUUUCAGCUUACAAGUACAGAUAAACCCUGAAGUAAAAGAACUCACUGGUUCAUGAUCUUUUAACCAAACAGGUAGAAGCCUGGUAGCAUCCUCUGAGGAAAAUGGAUCUCCGUGUAAAAAAUCAGGAACCACUACAUAGUACCAUGUAGCUGCAACCUUGUCUGCAAGUUUUCUUAACAACAGAGAACAUAAAUUUCCAUUGGAAUACUUCAGAACUCACAACUAAUAUAUAAUAAGUACAAAUGGAUCAUUGUACAAAAUAGGAAUCUUUAUACAAAUGUGUACUGUUUAACACAUACUAAUCAGCAAGAUAAAUAAGUACAAAUGCAUUCUCUUUGAAGAUUUAAAACUUAAUCACCAAUAACAUGACAUUCAGGAUAGAUUGGGGCAGAAGACCAUUUUAAUUGGAAUCAGACUAGUUGAAUAACAUGACAUUCACCAAUAACAUGCAUUCUCUCAGUCAUGUCUUCCAUUGCAGCAGAUAUCACCAUUUUAAUUGGAUUCAGACUAGUUGAAUAAAAUAUUGAGCAGAAGACCAGCUUGAUGCAGAAAAGACGAUUUACAUUUGCAGAUGACCAAAUAAAAGGGGAAAAAUUGAACACGGAAAACAAACACUAAAAUUGUCCAUACCUUAGAAGUGGAGCUUCAUAUCCUACAAGGCAAUGGAACGUGUGAAGUUAAAAAUGUGAUGCCGGUUUUGAAUCAAUAACUUUAAAUUAAAACUGAAGUAUUAUCAAUCAUAUAAAGAAGCAAAGCCACUCCCCGCGUCACAAAUAUGUCUAGAAGAAAAUAACAGGAAUAUCUGUUAACACUAGCGCAGUGCAAAUGGAUGUUAGCACGUGCUGCAAGAUAAAUCAAAUAUAGUGUAAUAUCAUAUCCAUACAUAUGUAACAAAACGAAAAAGUGACCAUGAUGAUAUAAGCCAGUACUGAGAAAAAGGAUGAGUUUCAAGUACCAAAAACUUCAGAAACCAUAAGAAUGGCAAGCUUGGAAUAAGAGGAUCCAGUAACAUAGGUGUCUAGGCCACCAAGUUUUUCAACAUGGCCUACCCAGGACUCAGGACCUGACAUAUUUUUCUUCUGUAAUGUGUUCAGAACAUGGCCUAAUUUUCUCACUCUUCAGGAUGUUUGUUUGUGUCUGAAACUAAAUAUAAAAAAUAAGAUGUUAGACAAGAUUUAAGACUUGGUGCCUUUGUUGCUUGUGCAAUGUUGGAGAAAGACCAAAAGCAGUGAUUCAGGAAAAAGAAGAGGAAUAAUAAUAAUGCUAAAAUGUAAACAUGCAUCAUCUCUUACGACCAACUUAUUGGUGGGCAAGGCAAAGUUCGGUCAAACUGAUUACUCAUUUGUACUUGUGACAGAUAAAAUAAAAGAAACAACCAAGAAUUUGAUGAUAAUAUAAAACUUUGGAAGAAUGAGAGUAAAAGAUUACAAUUGCAAUAUUAUUCAAUGAAGGGAAAAUUAUUUUAAUUGAAAUUGGGAAAGAAAAAAAAUGCAACACUUAAAUUUGAACCGAGAAUGUUCUAAAGCUAGCUUUCCAGAUAGAAGAACGUUUAUAAUUAUUUAAUUGGUAGCAUUCCUAUAAUUAAAAUAUUAAACAAUGAAAAAUGUGGAUUUUGAUAAGAUAGGUUAAGAGAAGUCAACUAAUGAGAUAAAUAUCGCCACCAAAGGGUCAUAAAAAAAGGGGGCUUACUAGUUUAAGUAGAAAAUCAUUUGUCCUGCUAUUGUUUAUUAGCUAUUAGCUAUUUAGGAAGUAUGUAUGUUUUUGGUCUAACCACAAGUAUCAUCUUUAAGACAAUCAUGUUCGAUCCGGGUGUGGUAAUUGUUAGAAGUCUCCCAAGAGUGCGUUACCUAAGGAUCGAAUUAUCGACCUCAGGGGUUCAAACAACCACUUUUAACCAUUGCGACCGACACUCAUUGGGUGAAGCAAGUAUCUUUUAAUUUUUAGAGAAAAUUAUUAAUAAUUAAUAAUCAAGAAUAUUUUAUCAGAAGUCAGUCUAAGAAAAUACCUGGGUAUAAGCAACCAUCAAAGGUUGGGGAUUCUAACAUAAAAGUCUUGAAAUAUAAUUCCAUAGCACAACUUAAAUCACAACUCCAACAAACUUAUAAACGAAUGCAAUAGCACAACUUAAAUCACAAGUCCAACAAACUUAUAAUCGAAUGCAAUAUUACUACAAUGAGUCUACCAAUACGAUCCAUGUCCAUUGUCCAAGACACAACAAUACAGCAUUUAAUGACCAAAAAAAAAAAACAAUACAGCAUUUAUUUUACACCCACUCAAGCAUUUAUUUUCUUAUAAACUGUAAGCUACAUUUGUGGAAAUAUAGGCAUAGCCAUUUUAGAUCCUCCACAACCAACAUGUGCAAACCAAUCCAGCUAAAUUUCUCACUUGAGAUGUUUAGCAAACCAGUCCAGCAAGUCCUGAUGGGCCUCCUCUGCUUCCUUCACAGCUUCUGUAUCUUCCAGGUUGUAUCUCACACUCCAACCGUGUGAAACUUUAGGAAAUAUUUUCACAAAACUAGCAACCUGCACAAAAACAAAAAUUGGUUCAUGAGUGAUGGGCGGUAUCUUACAUACAUGAGGUAUUCUUGCAUAUGUGCAAAUUCAUAGCACGUUUGGAUUAACUUCUAUAUCCUCAUAAUCAAUUUUGGAACCCAUAAGCUACUCACAGGAAGCUUCUUCCCAUAAUUAAUUUUGGUUUUAGAAUCAAUCAAUUGUAGAAUGAUUUCCAAAAUCCAAACAUGCAUCAAUGUCUGAUAAAAAACAAUUUCUUGUCUAGAUGAGCAAUUAUAUAUUGCAUGAGGAUCCCGGUUUAAAAAUGUCAAUUUAGUUGCCCAUUUGCACAGUUGUGAUGUAUAUCUUGUACACCAUGUGUCAACACAAUUAUUUUCAAGACACAAAUAGUAGCAAAAGAAAAAGUGAAAAAGCUAACCAAACUGAAUUGACUGAUUACAGCAUCUUGUAACAGAUGAUGUGUGUAGAGAACCCAAAAACAUGAACAAUAGCAAAUCAUCAAGGUAAUAUAAAAGGCUGGACACAAAAAAAUGACAAUUAUGUGACCUGAGAUUUUGCAGCUAGGACUUGCUCAAACUGUUUCACAAGCUCUGGAGGAGAAAUUGUGUCAAUCUCAGCAGCAAGUACAGAAAUUGGAAUAUCAACACCUGAACAGAAGAGCAAUAAUUAACUCUUGGAAUAUGAGCAUCUCAGUCACUGCUUUAAGAAAUCUGUUUCUUGUCUUUUUUUCAUUCAUUGAAAAAUUACAAGUUAAUAAGUUCUAAUGAAAGAAGCUACGGAUGAAAUAGAAUUUUUUCACAAUGGACUAUACCAACAUGAGUUCAACAUGAUGUUACAGAAAAAGCAAAGAAACAGGAGAAAUUGGAGGGGGGAUGCCAAUUUAAAUUACCCCUAUGUAGCACAUAAGUUAUAACCAGCCUCUACAUGCGUAAGAUUGCAUUGCAUACCAAAUCCAUAAAAACCCGCCUCUCAUUAAGUCUACAUACAAUUGAGUUCCUAAUAUUUUGCACUAAUGUAUACUUGUAUAAUAUACCAAAUACAUAAAAAUAGUGAACAUGAAUCAUGUGGUUGUCAAGUGUAUAACUAUAUAAAGCUGUCAUUCAAAAGACACUCCAUUGUUGCUGCAGGUAUUGCUCAUCUUCUGGACAAAUAUUUAAUCAUCUAACAUCUAAUCAAAUAAGCAUAUUUUUUUGUUUUGUGUUAUACUAAAACAGCUUUCAACCAGAACUUCUCUCUGCAGCAUUUUGACUAAGUUUAAAUGAAAAAGAAAUAGUUAUAUAACAGUAGAUUCCAAUAUAAUUUGUAUUUUACAAGAAGGAAAGAAAAGAAAAGAGAGGAAAAAAGUAAAGGCAAGUAGUCCCUUAGCAGUUAAUAAAUUAGUAAUGAAAAAUAUAUUUCUUCAAAUAAGUGAAUAUAAAUAUAAAGAGAGGAGGACUCCAUUUACUCCAGGAGUAAGUUAAAAACCUACUCCAAAUCUUUACCCUUAUUUUUAGAUACUGCACAUUAGCAUGGGAAGUGACAUUAUGCCAAAAAUGCUUAAAUUGAUGAAAACGACAAUUGACAAGUUUUUCUGUUUUUCCUAACAUGAAGCUCCAACAUAAUCUUAGUAGUCUUUUUCCCGCAUAAGAUGCUAAAAGACAUUUCCUAAACAAAUCGCAAAUUAAGGAAAUAUAUCUUAACAUUGAAAAUUUAUACCCUUGAUAUCAUCCAAAGAGACAAACGAUGGAUGCAAUAGCACAGCAGCUUGGAUCAGUCUGGAUUUCGCAAGUUCAACCACAACCUUAGCUGAUAAAAAGAAGGAAUAUAUAAUACAUUGUGUUAGUUCAAUUAUUAAUAUCAUGUUUAAAACUUUAAAUCCAACCAAUAAGUACAACACCUGCAAGGAGCUGAAACUGUUACACAAGCUAAAGAAGGGGAAAUGCAAACAAAAUAAGCAGAUGAGAGGCACUCACCACCCCAGCAAAAACCAACAGCCCCAAUAGCUGAAACACCUUUACUCUUUAAAGCUUCAAUUAUCGGCUUUGUAUCUUCAAAACCUUUGUCCUGUUAAUAUAGCGGGUAAGCAUCAGAGAGCGUCACAAUUUUGUAAAUUUGAUUUGACAUUUAACCCUUCCUAAUGCUCAAUCUACAAAUAAAACCACAUACAAAGGUAGCAGGCUAAUGGCUGAGCUGUUGAAAUGAUAAUUAGUUAAUUACAUCACAUAACUAGAAAUCGCAUUCCAGCCAUACAUCCCCCACUCAGAAUGUUCAAAGUUCCAAUAAGGCAACAAAAAACUGAAUUUCAAUUUUUAAUACCACCAAAAAAUUGUUUCUUUAAUUUAUACAAGAAGAGAAAAAUCAUGAACAAGCAAGUAUUAUAAAUAAGAACUAACCGGUCCAUGAUCUUUUAUCCAAGCGGGAAAGGGCCUGUCAGGGUUCCCAAGGUCCAAGGGCUCACCCUUCAAGAGAUCAGGAACAACCACAUAAUAGCCAGCAGCUGCAACUUUGUCCGCAAGGUUCCUUCAAUACAGAGAACAAAGUCAACAAAAAACAUUACAUACAAGAGAGGUGGAGACAGAGAAGUUUGUAAACAGAGCAGAAUGAAACAGUCAAAUUGUAUUAACAGCAUAGUUCAUCAAAACCUUGGAAAAUUUUAAUUUGUAAGUGAAAACUGCAAGUAACAUGAGCAACCAUUAUAAAUUCUCAUUGAUAUAUAUAUAUAUAUAUACAUGAGAUCAAAGAAAACAUGAACAAGUGAAAAGUGGAAAUAAGUCAAAUAACUGUAUUUGUAGGCAUACCUUAAAUUUGGUGCUUCAUAUCCUGCAAGGAAAAUUGAGCAUAUGAAAUUAGACGAAGGUUUUGGUAAAAGUCAACAACUGUUACUAGAUUAUCUAUAUAUAUAGCACAGGCUCCUGAAAAGAAUGAAAUGCAGAAUUUGAUACCGAAAACAUCGGAGAGGAGAAGAACGGCGAGGUUGGAGUGAGAGGAGCCGGAGAAAUAGGCGUUGACGCCGGCGAUCUUGUCAACGUGGCCAGCUCCGCCGGUGGGGUUGAGGGUUGGUGGAUUUGAGCAGCACUCAGGGCCUGACAUGAUGAUUGCUGAUACUGCUUGCUUCACACUGAGUUCUGAGUGUUGUGAGUCUGUGUUUGACUAGUCUUUGGUUUCGGGUGCUUCGUUAUAUGUAGAAGGAUCAUGAAUAUGAAAUUUUUUGGUAUCUAUAAUUUGGGGAAUUGGGUUUGGCCCCCCUAUGGGGCUCCGCGUCCCACUUAAAGUGGGGAAAUUACUGGAAUGCCCCCUUUAAUAGAAUACGGAACUUUACCGUCCGUAUUUAAUACGGAAGACACAUUUCAGUAUUAUAUUAGUAUGUAAAACGACAGGGGUUUUUUCAAACCCAUUUCAGCGCUUUCAACACCCAUUUCUCCCCCAUUCUCCCCUCGUUCUUCAAUCUUCGAUCUCUGACGCUCCCCUUGCUUGAAUCAUCAUCUGGAAAGGUUCCAUCAUCUCCAUCAAAGCUAUUCAUCAAACCCAUUCUCCCCAUUCAUUGCAUUGAAACCUAGAGGUAAGUAAGUUUGGAUUUUCACCAUUUAACUUGAAAUUAUGUGAAUCUUUCAACCCUAGGGUAGUCGAUUGAUGCUUACGUAGAGGUUAUGUUGGCUGAAAUGGCUUGAAUGUGCUUUGGGGCGAGUUCCGAUNNNNNNNNNNNNNNNNNNNNNNNNNNNNNNNNNNNNNNNNNNNNNNNNNNNNNNNNNNNNNNNNNNNNNNNNNNNNNNNNNNNNNNNNNNNNNNNNNNNNNNNNNNNNNNNNNNNNNNNNNNNNNNNNNNNNNNNNNNNNNNNNNNNNNNNNNNNNNNNNNNNNNNNNNNNNNNNNNNNNNNNNNNNNNNNNNNNNNNNNNNNNNNNNNNNNNNNNNNNNNNNNNNNNNNNNNNNNNNNNNNNNNNNNNNNNNNNNNNNNNNNNNNNNNNNNNNNNNNNNNNNNNNNNNNNNNNNNNNNNNNNNNNNNNNNNNNNNNNNNNNNNNNNNNNNNNNNNNNNNNNNNNNNNNNNNNNNNNNNNNNNNNNNNNNNNNNNNNNNNNNNNNNNNNNNNNNNNNNNNNNNNNNNNNNNNNNNNNNNNNNNNNNNNNNNNNNNNNNNNNNNNNNNNNNNNNNNNNNNNNNNNNNNNNNNNNNNNNNNNNNNNNNNNNNNNNNNNNNNNNNNNNNNNNNNNNNNNNNNNNNNNNNNNNNNNNNNNNNNNNNNNNNNNNNNNNNNNNNNNNNNNNNNNNNNNNNNNNNNNNNNNNNNNNNNNNNNNNNNNNNNNNNNNNNNNNNNNNNNNNNNNNNNNNNNNNNNNNNNNNNNNNNNNNNNNNNNNNNNNNNNNNNNNNNNNNNNNNNNNNNNNNNNNNNNNNNNNNNNNNNNNNNNNNNNNNNNNNNNNNNNNNNNNNNNNNNNNNNNNNNNNNNNNNNNNNNNNNNNNNNNNNNNNNNNNNNNNNNNNNNNNNNNNNNNNNNNNNNNNNNNNNNNNNNNNNNNNNNNNNNNNNNNNNNNNNNNNNNNNNNNNNNNNNNNNNNNNNNNNNNNNNNNNNNNNNNNNNNNNNNNNNNNNNNNNNNNNNNNNNNNNNNNNNNNNNNNNNNNNNNNNNNNNNNNNNNNNNNNNNNNNNNNNNNNNNNNNNNNNNNNNNNNNNNNNNNNNNNNNNNNNNNNNNNNNNNNNNNNNAAGUGUAAUCUCGGUUUUCUGUCCUUCCUGGGAAGCGCUUAUAAACUGGUUGGCUUGGGUGGGUUGAAUUGAACCGGCUGAACUCGUGGCUCCUCCGUACCAUAUGGACCCCAAGAGAUCAUAGCGCCUAGAAGCAAAUGUGAGACCAAUCUUGGAUCUUCACGGGAUACUGAGAGUCCACUUAGAACACCCAGAAUACUCUGCUUCAGAUUUUUCAAAGGAGCCACAGGUGAAGGUUUGGACCAAACAGCUUCUGUGUCAUCAUCGGGAACAAGCUUAGGAGUGCUUAGUAAAAAGAACGGUAAAUCUCUGGAGUCACCAUAUUGAAUUAUAUUUGUAAGCCACUCGUUUAUCUGUGAAACAUCAUCAACUGCACCCUUGUACCCAGCUACAAACUGCCCUGCCUGAUCAGAAUCAUCAAUUAGAUCUUGAACCAGUGAAAUUUUAGUUUUCCACUUUGCCAUUUCCUGUUUCCUGUUAUCAAGAGCACUGCUAUUUCUCAUGUACCGAACAACAAAUAAGCGAGGAGUAUCUGUCAUAUCCCUCCGUUGUCCACAAGUAUGCUCGCUCCCGGUAGAACCAAGGUAAAAUCGACAAUAGUCCUUUUCCUUUUCACCAUCAAGCCAGGCAAAUGUCAACCUCUUUCUCUUCAAUGCAUCCACAGCUGGAGCUAAAGAUUGAUUUACAGACAAUUUUUCUUGAACCCUGCACAUGGUUUCGCGCAACUUGUUCAAUUCCAAACUUGGCCUUCCUACCGCAACAGCACAGUACCAAAUAGUUGUAUCAAAUCCCGCGCGAGAGUAGCCGCGAGGAUCGCAGCCUAGCUCCAUAGAUGUCGCGCUCCGCAGUUGUGGAAGCUCUUGCUUUUUGUUAUCCUCCAUCAUAUUCAGAAAAAGUGUAUCAUUAACUGAACCAUGGUGCACAACAGGUUUCACACCAGGGUCUUUAAGAAAGACUAAAGCAGGUGCAGAUUGCACCCCAAAAGCUCCCAACCAGUAUGAAGAAUCCUCUUCCCGCCAAAGAAUGUUUGCAAAGGAAGCAUAACCCCAAUAGUCUUUCACUGCUUGUCGAAUAAACGGAGCAGCACGGUCCCCAGUUUCCGAAAAAAAUAUGACUUUCACCUUAUGAUGGCUGGAUUUUCCAAGAAAAUUUGGCACAAGUGUCCCCAUGGAGUAGUAGUUGAUUUGGGGUAAAGCCAAUAUAGUUGUAGCAAACCAAUCUGUGACCGUGUCAACAGUAAGCUCACCAUCAAACCUACUGAAACAUUUUGCAGAAACACAUCCUGGAGGAAUAGCAACAAUCAAUGGAACACCCUUUCUGAAAAGAGGCUUUCCUGUUGAACUUCUAUCAGCAAGAAAAACUGCUAAAUCAUUCUCAUUCUCAAUCUCACCAAGUUCCAUUACACCAGAAUUUGCAACACCAUCCAACAAGGAAGCAAUUUGAUUCCAUGGCUUGGAAAACUCAACACAACGAUUGCUCCCGGAUGAAUACAAUUGAAUGAUCCAUGGCUUUGAAUCUGGAAACAUGGACCCAAAAUCACUUGCAGAAAUCUCUUUUGAAGAAGAAUGAUCAACAGACCCAGAAGGGGAAUGCAGCAAAGGAAAGUCCAAAUUCAAUUGUGAAAUGUUUUUCAGCUUGAUAGCACUCUCAAGAACAUGGAAUUGUUCAUCAAUGCCGAAUCUAUCGUAGUCUCUUUUCCACAAACGGUUUGUGAGCAAUUCGUAAGCGUAUCUGAUCUUCAUGAACUCGCGAAUUUCAGAAGCUUCUGCAUCCGAAUUCUUCAUAGACCAUUUGGAUUCAAGGUUGUUAUAUGCCUCCUGCACCGUUUCGAUUGAACUGUACCUCUCGAUUUGCAGAACGUCGUAGUGGGAAGGUGAGGCGUUGGGAAUGAGAACGAGUUGGAAGAGCAUGGCGCCGGCGAGGAGAAUUAGAGGAAUCGCGUACGCUCUGACGGUGGAAACCACCGAAGUUGACGGAGGUGGAAUUGUCGGAGACCCAGACAUGGUGGCGGAAGUGGUGGUGGCGGUGAUUGGAAUCGCGGGAAUUUCGUAAACUCCGUGGACGGGAUUGACAACGUUGUGAGUGAGUAUCGUGUUAUGCAAACCUCGUUGGGAUGUUUCCAAAAAUAAAUCUCAUCUGCAUUUUAUUUUUUAUAUGGAAAUAUGUGAUUGACUUUUUAUUUUUAUUUUGUUAUUACCAUUAUUUAUACUUUUUAUUUUCAUAAAAUAAUGAAACAAAACUCAUAAAGUAAUAAAGUAAUUUGGAUGAGAGAUAAAUAAUUAAUAUUUUAAACUAAGAACUAGGGGUGUACAAGACCCGGCCUUAACCGCCAACCCGUCCCGGCCCAAGCAUUUAGGGUCGGGUUGAACCCGACCCGAUCAUUAAAAGAGACUGGGUUCGGGUUGAUCUUCGAGUUACCCGACUUCGGGUAGGGUCGGGUUCGAGUUGACGCUCGGGUCACCUGGCCUAUCUCACAUAUAUAUUUUAUAAAAUUUUAAUUUGUUAUAAUGAUUCAAAUGUGAUACAUGGUGCUCAAAUUUAUCUUACCAUCUAAAUGAGAUUAAAAUGUUUAACAUAUACCUUAUGAAUUAAAUAAACGUUGGUCAAACUAUGGACACUUUCAUGCUCUAACAAGAGAAAACCAUGUGUGUGUAUUAUGCAUAUGUGAGACAAGUGAAUAAAUGAUUAAACAAAAUGUAAACAUCUCAAGUGCAAUAGAUUAUGAAAGAAUUGAAUCCUUUCAAGUUAUUUCUUCUAAAAAAUAGUUCCAACUUAUAACUCUUUUAGUAUGUUAUUAUCUUUAAAUUUUAAAAUUAGUAUCAAAUAGUCUUAAAUUUAUUGUCCCUCGGGUCAACCCGGUCUCGUCCUACAUAGACCCGUCCUAAAUUGGACCCGCAUAAUGUCGGGUUGUUUCGGGUCUAGGGACGGGUUAGGGUCUAUCAAUUGACCCGAUCAACAUUUAGGACCGGGUUAGGGUUAACCAAAACUCGUCCCAACCUGUCCCUUGUACACCCCUACUAAGAACUCAAAAAGCAAAACUCUUUAUUUAAGAAUUGAGUUCUUAAUUUUAAGAACUAAAAAGUCCAUGUCAGCACCUUCAAUGGUAAAGUUCUUAGUUCUUAACUCCAAAAUAAAAACUAAGAACCUUGCAUUAGAGAUGCUCUUAAAGUUUUUUUUUUUUUAAAAUGGAGUUUAUCUUCCCUUAAAAAAGAAAAAAAAAAUAGAGUUUAUCAUAGUCAGAGAUAUGUGUUUCAAAAAAAAAAAAUAGUCAGAGAUAUGAUUGAUUCUUCAAUUCUGAAAAUUUGAAAUACAGAUAAAAUAAAUUUUUUGACAGAGAAAUACAGAUAAACUUAAUCAAUCGUUUUUAUUUAUUUUAAAUUUUGAAUUAAUUUGAUCUUUUUGAAAGAAUGAAGCCACAUGGUAAUUGGGCACUGGAUUAAUAAUCUACAAAAAUAUUUAGAGGAUCGGAUUAAGAGAUAAAAUAGUAAGUUUUUUUUUUGUCAAAUUAUAAUAGCAAAUCCAAAAAAAUAUUUGGGAGAAGCGGAUUAAGAAUUAGUAAAAUGUUAUGUUAUAUAUAGAUCCAUGAAAGAAAAUUAAAAUAUUGAAGGGUUAUGCCCCUACUAGCCAUUUAGAUACGCCCUCAAUGCGCAAAGGAAAAAGACUCACCGCCCCUAACAAGUGAGAUGUUUGGCUUACCUUUUGCGGAUGAGCUUAAAAGCUUGCAACACUCGUGUAAUAAUGGAACAUAAACAUGGUCUCAUUUCAUAGAUGGAUUUCACAAAUGAUGCAAAAUAAACAGAAAUAAGGUUGUAACAUAAAGCCUUCAAGCAUGAAGUCUUAAGAUCUCAAAUCCUAAACAUCAAAUUUUAUUGUAACAUAAGAAAGCUAAGUGGAAUGGGUAUCAUUUUUAUUUCCUAGCCUCCACUUCAGGACACGAUGAUGCAAUUCCAAUCAACAUAGAAUCUCUAAUUGCAUCCAACAAUUAAGUUUUCUCACUCAAGGUGUUUAUUAAACCAGUCCAACAAUAUUUGAUGGGCCUUCUUUGCAGCUUUCACAGCUUCUGGAUCUUCAGCAUCGUACCUCAAAGUAAACCCAUGUGAGACGUUAGGAAAUAUUUUUACAUAACUAUCAACCUGCACAAAACAAAAAUAGCUACAUCAGUGAUAUCUUAAAUACAUGAGAUAUUCAUCGUCAAGAGUUCUUAUAUGCAUACAUACACUUUUUUUUCAGGGACACACGCAUUAGUGCGGUUUUUAACUGUUUAACUGUCCAACGACGGUUAAAAAAAGAAUGUGUGUGUCGAUUGUGCGUAAUACAUAAUAACAUUUUUGGUCGUCAAUAUGUGCGCAUUCAAUGAUUGAAAUGAACAAUAUGACAUCUUGUAGCAUAUAUAACCAGAAAAAGAAAUGAAGGUUCAUCCAACCCAAGGUUUAUCAGCCAGGACUUCUUUAAAUUGUUUUAUAAGCUCUUCAGGAGUAACUGUGUCAAGCUCAGCUCCAAGUAUAGCAAUAGGAAUAUUAACACCUGAAAGUGAUACCAACACUUAACUAUUAGAAUAUGAACAUCUCAGCCUCUUAUAUCCAAGCAUAUAUACUUAAAUUGAUGGCAUCACAAUUGAAAAGAAGCUGCAACAUGUUAUAGUAAUUUUUUCUGCUUAUAAAGUGCUCUGGCACCCCCUGAACAAAGAAUUUGCAAGUUAAGAAAUAAUCUAAACACUGAAAAUUCAUACCAUCUAUGUCAUCCACAGUGAUAGAUGAUGGAUGUGCAGUCACAACAGCUUGGAUAAGUUUGUAUUUCGCAAGUUCACACACGGUCUUAGCUGAGACAAACAAGAACACAUGGUAAAUUCUUUUGAGUUUAUGAUGAACUUAGUUGUGUUUAAACCUAUGCAACCAAUAUACACCUAAGACGAGCCAAAACAACUACAUACACAAAGGAGGGGAACUGCCAUGAAGAAUUAUCCCAAAAAACUUAAGCAGUUGAGUAAAUGACACAUGAAUGGUUUUAUUUUAUAUUUCUAAGCGGAAAUACACCAAAUAAGUGAAAGGCGUGCACUCACCUCCCCAACAAAAACCAGCAGCACCAAUAAGAGAAGCACCUUUACAUUUUAAGGCUUCAAUGACAGGUUUUACAGCGUCAAAACCUGUGUCCUAUGAGAAAAUGAUGUAUUGCAAUCUACAAAAGGUCAUGAGUUUGUACAUCUAAUUAAAACAAACCAUAAAUAAAGCUGGCAAACCAGCAGCAAAAAUGAUAAUAACAUUACACGGGAAAACAUUGGAAUCAUAACCCAAAAUCAAGAGUACUUAUCAAAGUACCAAUAAGGAUACCAAACAUUAGAUUUCAAUAUAUACACAGGACUUUCUGUUUCUCUUAUAAAAAUUAUCAUUAACAGCCAAGUACCAUUAAAAAGAGAACUAACCGGUUCAUGAUCUUUCACCCAAACAGGUAAAGGCCUGUUAACAUCUUCGGAAUCAAAGGGAUCGCCAUAGAAGAAGUCAGGAACCACCACAAAAUACCUAGCUGCUGCAACCUUGUCUGCAAGCUUCCUUUACAACAAACUAUAUGACUUAAUAGGGGAAAAGUUACAGUUAGCAUCAUAAAAAGAGAGAGUAGACAAAGAGAGCAGAUGAGUUGGAUGAAAUUAACAGCCAAAUCUGUUGGAGUAUUGUUUACCACAAUUGAUUAUGAAACCAAAAUCAAUUAUGGGGAGAAGCUUUUGCGAGUAGUUUCGGAGUUUCAGAAUUGAUUUGGAUGAAAGUGAAACUUUAUCAAAUAUAAACAUAUAUCUAGCAAUGAUCUAACAAGAUAUCGAUAGGCACAUUAAUCUGAAUUUGUGCUGAAUUAAGCCAAAACAACUUGCUCGAACAAAUAACCAUGCAGAUGAUCAAAAUUUUGUAAGUUAUACUUAUACAGAAAGCAAACAUGAGAAAGAGCCAUACCUUAAGACUGGCGCUUCAUAUCCUACAAGACAAAUUAAAUCAAGCAUGUAAAGUUAAACGAAGAUGACUAAUGUCUAAAUUUUUUACACUGUAAGUGCAUAGUAAUUAAACUUAAUUAAGAAUACCAAAAAUAUCAGAAACAAAGAGAAUAGCUCUGUUGGAGUGAGGGGAGCCAGUGAGGUAAGAAUCAAGGCCACCAAAUUUCUGAACAUGGCCUUCUCCACUACAAGGGUCCAGUUUUGGUGGAUUUGAGCAACAUGCUAAGCCUAAGCCUAACCUUGACAUUUCCUCUUUUCUCUUACUUUUACUCUUUUGCUUGCUUUGCUUCCCUCCACCAAUCUCACUCAAUUCAGCUUUUCCAUUUAUAAAGUUCAUUUAAGACUUUGAAUAUUUCAACCUUGUACUUUUCUAUUCAGUUUUUCUUAAUCUCGCUAUCUGUCUGUUGUUUAGUAUUCUUAAAUUUGUUCAGAGGUUUGUGACGUGUUAACUUUUGGUGAGUUCAAUUCCAGGUCGUGACUUUUUUCACCACCAAUCAGAGGUUUUAUUUAUUUAUUCUUGUAUGGAGUUUAUUCACUUCAUCUCUAUACUUUCAUCUGUGUAGAUUAUUUUCUCACAAUUGCAGGUUAAUUUUUUUUGAAAAAAUGUACAGAUUUUAUAAAGUGAAGGAAAUACAAUUUUCUCUUUUAAUUUAACAUACAAUUUUCUCUUUCCUUCCCUGUCAUGACAGAUAUGAGAUAGCAUUGUAGAAAAUUACAUUAUUUAUGACUUAUGAGUAAUAUUCAAAUAUUAUUUACUGGCGGCAAACAUAAAUCAUGUUUACUUUUCAAUGAAAAGUUUAGGCCUUCGUUUUUUCAUUAUGUUAUAUGAUUAUUAUUCAUUUUAAGAUUAAGACUGCUCAAUUAUUUCCUUACUAAACUUGACAAUUUUGUUUUUGCUUGCAGUUAGAAGAAGAAGAAUAUAAUUGUUAAACAAGGGUGUACGAGAUUAAGUAAAACAUAUGAUUAUAAUUGUUAAUCAAAUUAUUGAAAUUGAAAUUUCAACAACUUUAUAGUUUAUUAUAUAAAUAUAUGGCACAAUUUUAACAACAAAUUAUUUUGAGCUUGAACCGGAGACGGUAUAUAAACUUGCACAAUUUAUUUUAAAACUCAACUUUUUAUUAGAACAAAUUAUGCAACAAGAACUUAAUUUACAAACGGGCCCUUAGUUAUCUUUUUAUACACCAGAAUCAUUCAAAGACCACAAUUCCAGAAUUUAUACAUAGACCUUAGCAUUAGGCACUUGGACAAACUCACCCUUGGCGGGGAAUAACUAGAGUUUAAAAACAAAGCUUCUUCAAUCCAAUCCAUUCAAACAAAGUGAAUGAUAACAGAACUUUGAAGAUUAUUUUACAUACGAGGCGAAGCUGAAGAUGUAUUUACCACAGUCCUCGAAAAUAUGACCCAGAAAUUGGAAAAGCAAAGUUAUGAACAAUCUCAGACAAACAAGCUCUUAUUAGAAAAGAGGCAAUAGAAGUUCUUCUUCACAUUCAUAGAACAAGAUUGAUUUCUCACUUGAGAUGUUUAGCAAACCAGUCCAGCAUGUCCUGAUGGGCUUCCUCAGCAGCCUUCACAGCUUCUGCAUCUUCGAUGUUGUAUCUCACACUCCAACCGUGUGAGACUUUAGGAAAUAUUUUAACAUAACUAUCAACCUGCUAAAAAUAAAAAUAACAAUUCAGAAGCCAUAUUAAUCAUUCUCAAUAAGAAACAGUUAUGGGUCCAGCUUUAAGGUCUGAGUUAUGACGUAGACAAGAGGAUGGUGACGAUGAAUGUUUUUCAGUAGCCAAAAACAAGACACAAAGCACAAUGUGCUUGGUAAAAAUGAAAUUUAAACAGAGCUUAGCUACAGAUAGAUUUCUCAAAUUCAACUUGUCUGAACCCAUCAGAACCAAAAAAUGGAAACUGAUAAUGAAAGAACACGUCAUCUUUGAAUUAAAAAUAAAAUCACAUAGUAACCAGAAAAUAUUAUCAUCAUCAGAACAUAAAGGUAAUCUAAAAUGAUGGUAGAUAACCAGCAAAAAGAGAAAAAAAUAUCUGACCCCAGGUUUAGCAGUUAAGACUUGUUCAAACUGUUUCAGAAGCUCUGGAGGAGACAUUUUGUCAAUCUCAGCUCCAAGUAUAGCAAUUGGAAUAUCAACACCUAAAAGUUAGACCAAUAAUUGACUGUUAGAAUAUGAACAUCUUAGUCAAUAGUCACUGCUUAAGAAAUAUGCUUAAAAAUGAGAACGGAAUGAAUUGGUAUGGAACAAACUCCAAUAAAAUAGAACUUAUGCACAAUCAAUUAAAUCAACAGAAGUUAAGUACACUGUUGUAAUAAAAGACAACAGGCAAGGAGAUUUUUUCAACACAAAAAUAAAAUAUAGAUACCCCUGUGUAGCAAAUUAUUGACCUUCAGAAAAAUAGAUUGCAAGCACAGUCCAUAAAAAACACUAUUAUGGUUUGCUCAUCUUUCAAACAAACGUACUUCUAGGACUCAGAAACCUUCAACAUCAUUUAUAAAGUGAAGUGCUCAAUAUUUAGGCUCAGCAUAAGAUGUUUACGGUUUACCAAAUCUAUUUCUCUUUUAUUCAAUCAAAUGUUCAAAAUGUAAUGAUUAUGAUACAGACAUACCAGAAGUAUGUAGAAACAGUAAAAUACACUGCAAGUCAGCAUAAAGACAAAUAUGAUUAUUUAGGAAGUGACUGAGGACUGUAGUUAUAUUCCGAACAUGCCUAAUUGCCUAUUUCAAUGGUAUGACAAGAAGCUGCAACAUAAUUUUGGUAGUCAUCCUUAGAAGAUACAGUGAAGUUUUCAAUAACUAAAAUAUGCAGACAGAAGAAAUUUAAAUAUUGAGAAUUCAUACCAUUGAUGUCAUCCAGAGAGACAAAUGAUGGGUGUAAUUGCACAGCAGCUUGGAUUAGUCUGGAUUUCGCAAGUUCAACCACAACCUUAGCUGAAGGAAAGAAGAGAAAGACUACACUCUGUGAGUUUGAUUGCUUAGUUGUGUUCAUAAUUUCAAACCAUACCAGAAACUACACCUAAGUGAAGCUGAAAGUGCUAUAUAGUAUAUCAAUAUGCAAACAAGAGGAGGGGAAAAUAUAAGCACUCCGAAUGAGUGGAAUGAGAGGUACUUACCUCCCCAACAAAAUCCAGCAGCCCCAAUAGCCGACACACCUUUACUUUUUAAAGCUUCAACUAUGGGUUUGGCAACUUCAAAUCCUUUGUCCUAUUAUUGAUAUGAAAGAAUCAGGGAAUUAUGAAUUACAAAUUACAACACACAAAAAAACCAUUUUUCACUAGAUGAGAAUGACAAUAAAAGUUUACAAAUCAAUGUACAAUUUCUAUACAUUUUAUGCGAGAUAAUCCAUAGUAUUUGAUCCACUCAUCCAAACAUAUAUACUGAUAUACAGGUGGCCCACUAACAUUCAAACAGCUUGUAAUUGUAAAAACCAAUUAUUAUAAAUAAGAACUUACCGUUCCAUGAUCUUUUAACCAAACAGGUAAAGGCCUGUUAGCAUUCUCAGGAUUAUAUGGGUCACCAUAGAAGAAGUCAGGAACAACCACAUAAUAUCCAGCAGCUGCAACCUUGUCUGCAAGGUUCCUUAACAACAGAGGACAAACAGUAUCACUGCCCAGAGAUACACUACAUUUGGCACCAUAGAGAGAGAGAGAGAUGGAGAAAGAGAGAAUUGGAAAAGAGAGUUAAACAGCCAGAUUCCAUUAGUGGAAUAAUUCACCAGAACUUGAUAAAAUUUGAGAGUAAAAGGUAGACUUCCCAAGAAAGAAGAUGAUUAUAUCAUAAUUCAUAAUUUACAGUUAACAUGUUGAUAUAGAUAUAUAUUUGAUUAAUUCCCUACGAAAAUUGAAAUCUAUCAUUCACUGUUACCUAAAGAUUAUGAGCCAUUACUUUAAAAUGGAAAAGUAGGAUUUUUUUGCUAAUUGUGACGCCGCUAUUGCCACUAUAGCGCGCUAUUCGCCUCCAAAUAGCGGCUGAAAUAGUGGAUUUUUUACUCACCAUGAUGGUCCGCGAUUAAUUGGAAAUUGGACAGUAUGAAACCAAGAUAACUUGCUCUAACAUAUAAAGUAAAAAAAUUAGCUAACUUAGAAAUAGACAAUAGGCAUGAGACUUGAGUAUAAGAUCAUACCUUAAAUUCGGCGCUUCAUAUCCUACAAAACAAAUCAAGCAUGUGAAGUUAAAAGAUGAUAUUAUUGGCUACAGGCGAUAAUAACCUUUAAAAAAAUAUAUUGAUACAGCCAACAACAACAAGCAAGCCUUUUCCCACUAGAUGGAGUUGGAAAUGAAACCAGAGUCUCUUCAUAGAAUGCAAAAGUGAAGAUGGGGUGUUUGAAAGAUACCAUAAAUGUCAGAGACAAGUAGAAUGGCAAGCUUAGAGUGAGGGGAGCCAGUGAGAUAGGAAUCAAGACCAGCAAAUUUCUCAACAUGGCCUGCACCUGCAGUGGGGUUAAUGGUUGGUGGGUUUGAGCAACAUUGUGGCCCUGACAUUGCUCUUCUCUUCUCUGCAAUUCACUUCACAGCUCUGCUCUUGGGGAUCAAAUUUUGGAACAGAGAGAGAGAGAGAGAUGACGUGAAGAAAUGGGAGAUUCCACUUUGCUAUUGCUAUGCACUCAUAUCAUUGUGGUCCAUAUAUGGACAACUGCAGG